rnacentral:rRNA from 1 species
AGUGAACGCUGGCGGUAGGCCUAACACAUGCAAGUCGAACGGCAGCACAGUAAGAGCUUGCUCUUACGGGUGGCGAGUGGCGGACGGGUGAGGAAUACAUCGGAAUCUACUUUUUCGUGGGGGAUAACGUAGGGAAACUUACGCUAAUACCGCAUACGACCUACGGGUGAAAGCAGGGGAUCUUCGGACCUUGCGCGAUUGAAUGAGCCGAUGUCGGAUUAGCUAGUUGGCGGGGUAAAGGCCCACCAAGGCGACGAUCCGUAGCUGGUCUGAGAGGAUGAUCAGCCACACUGGAACUGAGACACGGUCCAGACUCCUACGGGAGGCAGCAGUGGGGAAUAUUGGACAAUGGGCGCAAGCCUGAUCCAGCCAUACCGCGUGGGUGAAGAAGGCCUUCGGGUUGUAAAGUCCUUUUGUUGGGAAAGAAAAGCAGCAGGUUAAUACCCCGCUGUUCCGACGGUACCCAAAGAAUAAGCACCGGCUAACUUCGUG